rnacentral:piRNA from 1 species
UUCAUGCAGCUUGCCCAGUGG